GAGAGGACCGGGGUGGACGGACCGAUGGUGUACCAGUUGUUCUGCCAAGGGCACAGCUGGGUAGCCAAGUCCGGGAGGGAUAAGCACUGAAGGCAUCUAAGUGCGAAGCCUGCCCCAAGAUAAGGUAUCCCACCCUGAAGAGGGGGUAAGACACCUGGGAGACGACCAGGUAGAUAGGCCGGGGGUGUAAGGGUUGUGAGGCCUUGAGCCGACCGGUACUAAUGAGUCGAGGGCUUGACCAA
rnacentral:rRNA from 1 species